ACGGGUGAGUAAUGUCUGGGGAUCUGCCCGAUAGAGGGGGAUAACCACUGGAAACGGUGGCUAAUACCGCAUAACGUCGCAAGACCAAAGAGGGGGACCUUCGGGCCUCUCACUAUCGGAUGAACCCAGAUGGGAUUAGCUAGUAGGCGGGGUAAUGGCCCACCUAGGCGACGAUCCCUAGCUGGUCUGAGAGGAUGACCAGCCACACUGGAACUGAGACACGGUCCAGACUCCUACGGGAGGCAGCAGUGGGGAAUAUUGCACAAUGGGCGCAAGCCUGAUGCAGCCAUGCCGCGUGUAUGAAGAAGGCCUUCGGGUUGUAAAGUACUUUCAGCGGGGAGGAAGGCGAUGGGGUUAAUAACCCUGUCGAUUGACGUUACCCGCAGAAGAAGCACCGGCUAACUCCGUGCCAGCAGCCGCGGUAAUACGGAGGGUGCAAGCGUUAAUCGGAAUUACUGGGCGUAAAGCGCACGCAGGCGGUCUGUUAAGUCAGAUGUGAAAUCCCCGGGCUUAACCUGGGAACUGCAUUUGAAACUGGCAGGCUUGAGUCUUGUAGAGGGGGGUAGAAUUCCAGGUGUAGC
rnacentral:rRNA from 1 species